CCUACGGGGGGCAGCAGUGGGGAAUAUUGCACAAUGGGCGCAAGCCUGAUGCAGCGACGCCGCGUGAGCGAUGAAGGCCUUCGGGUCGUAAAGCUCUGUCCUAAGGGAAGAAUAAUGACGGUACCUUAGGAGGAGGCCCCGGCUAACUACGUGCCAGCAGCCGCGGUAAUACGUAGGGCGCGCCCGUUAUCCGGAACAACUGGCAGUAAAGGGGCACUAGGCGGCCCUGCAAGUCAGGGGUCAGCUCCCUCGGCGGGCCCGAGUGCAGAGCUUGAAACUGUAGGGCUUGAUGCCAGGAGAGGGCAGCGGAAUUCCUAGUCGGGGGGGUAAAUGCGGAGAGAUUGGGAUGAGGGCCAGGGGAGAAGGCGGCGGGGGUGACUGCAACUGACGCUGAUGCACGGAAGCGUUGGGAGCGAACAGGAUUAGGUACCCUGGUAGGC
rnacentral:rRNA from 1 species